UACGGAGGGUGCGAGCGUUGUCCGGAAUCACUGGGCGUAAAGGGCGCGUAGGUGGCGCGGGCAGUCAACGGUGAAAGUUCGGGGCUCAACCCUGAAUUGGCCGUCGAUACUCCCGUGCUUGAGCACUGUAGAGGCAGAUGGAAUUCCGGGUGUAGCGGUGGAAUGCGUAGAGAUCCGGAAGAACACCGGUGGCGAAGGCGGUCUGCUGGGCAGUAGCUGACACUGAGGCGCGACAGCGUGGGGAGCAAACAGG
rnacentral:rRNA from 1 species